AGAGUUUGAUUCUGGCUCAGACUGAACGCUGGCGGCAUGGCUAAAACAUGCAAGUCGAACGGACCCGCAAGGGUUAGUGGCGGAAGGGUGAGUAAAAGUAUCGAACGUACCCCGAGGUGGGGGAUAGGCACGGGAAACUGUGCGUAAUACCCCAUGAUCUCGCAAGAGCAAAGCAGCAAUGCGCCUUGGGAGCGGCGAUAUACCUAUCAGGUUGUUGGCGGGGUAAUGGCCCACCAAGCCGAAGACGGGUAGCCGGUGUGAGAGCACGACCGGCCACAUCGAGACUGAGACACUGCUCGGACUCCUACGGGAGGCUGCAGUAACGAAUAUUCCGCAAUGCGCGAAAGCGUGACGGAGCAAUGCCGCGUGCAGGAUGAAGCGGUUUCGCCGUGUAAACUGCUGUCAGGGGCGAGAAAUACUGAUCAGCCCCAGAGGAAGGACCGGCUAAACUCGUGCCAGCAGCCGCGGUAAGACGAGUGGUCCAAGCGUUAGUCGGAAUCACUGGGCUUAAAGGGUGCGUAAGCGGGCUCGUAAGUGCCUUGUGAAAGCCCCCGGCUCAACCGGGGAACUGCAGGGCAUACUGCGAGCCUUGAGGUAACUAGAGGCGGGCAGAACGAUAGGUGGAGCGGUGGAAUGCGUAGAGAUCUAUCGGAAUGCCGAAGGUGAAGACAGCCCGCUGGGGUUUACCUGACGCUGAGGCACGAAAGCGUGGGGAGCAAACAGGAUUAGAUACCCUGGUAGUCCACGCCCUAAACGAUGCACACUAGACGGGUGCGGCUCUGACGCCGUACCGGUCGAAGAGAAAUUGAUAAGUGUGCCGCCUGGGGAGUACGGUCGCAAGGCUAAAACUCAAAGAAAUUGACGGGGGCUCACACAAGCGGUGGAGCAUGUUGCUUAAUUCGAAACUACGCGAAGAACCUUACCUGGGUUUGACAUGCACGGAUUAGUUGGUGGAAACAUCAAUGAGGCCCGCAAGGGUACAACGUGCACAGGUGCUGCAUGGCUGUCGUCAGCUCGUGCUGUGAAGUGUUUGGUUAAGUCCAUUAACGAGCGCAACCCCUGUCGUUAGUUGCUAACGCGUCAUGGCGAGGACUCUAACGAGACUGCCGGCGUCAAGCCGGAGGAAGGUGGGGAUGACGUCAAGUCCUCAUGGCCCUUACAUCCAGGGUUGCAAACGUGCUACAAUGGCGCGCACAAAGCGACGCGAGGCCGCAAGGCGGAGCAAAUCGCAAAAAACGCGCCCCAGUUCGGAUUGCAGGCUGCAACCCGCCUGCAGGAAGUCGGAAUCGCUAGUAAUCGGAGAUCAGCUACGCUCCGGUGAAUAUGUUCCUGAGCCUUGUACACACCGCCCGUCAAGUCAUGGGAGCCGGUAGCGCCCAAAGUCGCCACAAUUCAGUGGUGCCUACGGCAAGAUCGGUGACUGGGACUAAGUCGUAACAAGGUA
rnacentral:rRNA from 1 species